GUGAACUGAGUCUGCAGUCGUAUGAGAAUUCCAUACAUCAGCUCAUCUGAAAUUCGCAAAUCUCCUGUGGAUAAGAGGCUUAAAGGAUGAUAGGAAGCGGAAGAUAUAGGAAAUAAGGAUGCUCUGCAUUGCCAACUUACUGAUCGUGACAGCGUACAUGUGCCAUCGCAGCUACACUGGAGCAGAACAUUUUGAAUGCGUGCCUGGACCAGGACACGUGCUCAUCAAUAGAAUGCUGGACACGGGCAUUUGAGGUUCCGUGAUGAUCUUCAAUCAAUGAAAAAGACGGAUAAAGAUCUCAACCAUCAGCCAAGCAAAGAAAAUAUUCAAAAGAAGAAGAAGAAAUGGCAUACAUCCAAUUCAACCUCUGGUGGAAUCAGAAAAAUAAA